AUGCAGUCGAACGGUAACAGGGAAAAAAAGCUUGCUUGCUUUGCUGACGAGUGGCGGACGGGUGAGUAAUGUCUGGGAAACUGCCUGAUGGAGGGGGAUAACUACUGGAAACGGUAGCUAAUACCGCAUAACGUCGCAAGACCAAAGAGGGGGACCUUCGGGCCUCUUGCCAUCGGAUGUGCCCAGAUGGGAUUAGCUAGUAGGUGGGGUAACGGCUCACCUAGGCGACGAUCCCUAGCUGGUCUGAGAGGAUGACCAGCCACACUGGAACUGAGACACGGUCCAGACUCCUACGGGAGGCAGCAGUGGGGAAUAUUGCACAAUGGGCGCAAGCCUGAUGCAGCCAUGCCGCGUGUAUGAAGAAGGCCUUCGGGUUGUAAAGUACUUUCACCGGGGAGGAAGGGACUAAA
rnacentral:rRNA from 1 species